rnacentral:rRNA from 1 species
GACGUAGGGCGCGAGCGUUGUCCGGAUUUAUUGGGCGUAAAGAGCUCGUAGGCGGCUUGUUGCGUCGACUGUGAAAACCCGCGGCUUAACUGCGGGCUUGCAGUUGAUACGGGCAGGCUAGAGUUCGGUAGGGGAGACUGGAAUUCCUGGUGUAGCGGUGAAAUGCGCAGAUAUCAGGAGGAACACCGAUGGCGAAGGCAGGUCUCUGGGCUGACACUGACGCUCAUGCACGAAAGCGUGGGGAGCAAACAGG